rnacentral:ncRNA from 2 species
UGUAAAGGUAGAAAGCUAUGAUUAAUCAACUUAUUUGGGCGCUUUGUUGAUUAUGAGCUACUAGCGCAACCGGCUAACCAAACA